CCCUUAGACGUUCUGGGCCGCACGCGCGCUACACUGACCAGUGCAACAAGCAUCCGUCCUUGGCCGACAGGCUCGGGCAAUCUUUGAACGCUGGUCGUGAUGGGGAUAGACUUUUGCAAUUUUUGGUCUUCAACGAGGAAUUCCUAGUAAACGCAAGUCAUCAACUUGCAUUGAUUACGUCCCUGCCCUUUGUACACACCGCCCGUCGCACCUACCGAUUGAAUGGUCCGGUGAAGCCUCGGGAUUGUGGCUGGUCUCCUUUAUUGGGGGUCGGUCGCGAGAACUUGUCUAAACCUUAUCAUUUAGAGGAAGGUGAAGUCGUAACA
rnacentral:rRNA from 1 species